rnacentral:lncRNA from 1 species
GAGUACGCGUGCGGCCACGGCGCCGACUGCAGCGCCAUCCAGCCCGGCGCGGCGUGCUUCGAGCCGGACACCGUGGUCGCCCACGCCUCGUACGCGUUCAACAGCUACUACCAGCGGAACGGCCGGAGCAACGGGACGUGCGACUUCAACGGCGCCGGUUACAUCGUCUACCAAGAACCAGCUGGUGAGUUCUCGGCUUCCUCGCUCGCUGCUGCUUUCAGAGGUCUUGUUUGCCGAUCAUGCAAACUGCAAACGUGCAAACAAUAAUGCUGAUCAACCUGGUGGUGUGAAACUGAAGGCACCUGCGACCCGAACGCGAGCUGGUGCGUGGCGAACGCGGAGGUCGGGGACGCGCGGCUUCAGAAUGCCCUGGACUACGCAUGCGGCAACGGCGCGGACUGCAGCGCCAUCCAGCCCGGCGGGCAGUGCUUCCAACCCGACACCAAGCCCUCGCACGCCUCGUACGCGUUCAACAGCUACUACCAGCACAAGGGACGGGCUAGCGGAACUUGCGACUUCUCUGGUGCCGCCUCCGUUGUAUACCAGCAACCCAGUGAGUCAACUGGCUUUCUUACUCGUCGUCAUUUUUUGUCGCCCUGCCCCCAAACUUUUGUCUGAGCCUAUAAUCCGUUUUUGUUUCCAUUCAUUGCUGC